rnacentral:rRNA from 1 species
CCUACGGGCGGCUGCAGUGGGGAAUAUUGGACAAUGGGGGCAACCCUGAUCCAGCCAUGCCGCGUGUGUGAAGAAGGCCCUCGGGUUGUAAAGCACUUUCAGUGAGGAAGAACGCCUGGUGGUUAAUACCCAUCAGGAAAGACAUCACUCACAGAAGAAGCACCGGCUAACUCCGUGCCAGCAGCCGCGGUAAUACGGAGGGUGCGAGCGUUAAUCGGAAUUACUGGGCGUAAAGCGCGCGUAGGUGGCUUGAUAAGCCGGUUGUGAAAGCCCCGGGCUCAACCUGGGAACGGCAUCCGGAACUGUCAAGCUAGAGUGCAGGAGAGGAAGGUAGAAUUCCCGGUGUAGCGGUGAAAUGCGUAGAGAUCGGGAGGAAUACCAGUGGCGAAGGCGGCCUUCUGGACUGACACUGACACUGAGGUGCGAAAGCGUGGGUAGCAAACAGGAUUAGAUACCCGAGGAGUC